GAUGAACGCUGGCGGCGUGCCUAAUACAUGCAAGUCGAGCGAACGGACGAGAAGCUUGCUUCUCUGAUGUUAGCGGCGGACGGGUGAGUAACACGUGGAUAACCUACCUAUAAGACUGGGAUAACUUCGGGAAACCGGAGCUAAUACCGGAUAAUAUUUUGAACCGCAUGGUUCAAAAGUGAAAGACGGUCUUGCUGUCACUUAUAGAUGGAUCCGCGCUGCAUUAGCUAGUUGGUAAGGUAACGGCUUACCAAGGCAACGAUGCAUAGCCGACCUGAGAGGGUGAUCGGCCACACUGGAACUGAGGCACGGUCCAGACUCCUACGGGAGGCAGCAGUAGGGAAUCUUCCGCAAUGGGCGAAAGCCUGACGGAGCAACGCCGCGUGAGUGAUGAAGGUCUUCGGAUCGUAAAACUCUGUUAUUAGGAAAGAACAUAUGUGUAAGUAACUGUGCACAUCUUGACGGUACCUAAUCAGAAAGCCACGGCUAACUACGUG
rnacentral:rRNA from 1 species